rnacentral:rRNA from 1 species
CGAAGCACGGGCACGCAGCGGGCGGAAUGAGUAGGGUGGAAGGGUUGUCCGGAUGUAUUGGGCGUAAAGAGCUCGGAGUGGGUUGGUCGCGUCGGAUUGUAAAACCCAAUGGCUUAACCUUGGGCCUGCAUUCGAUACGGGCAAACUAGAGUGUGGUAGGGGAGACUGGAACUCCUGGUGUAGCGGUGGAAUGCGCAGAUAUCAGGAAGAACACCGAUGGCGAAGGCAGGUCUCUGGGCCAUAACUGACGCUGAGGAGCGAAAGCGUGGGGAGCGAACAGGAUUAGAUACCCCGGUAGUC